ACCAACACGUGCAUUUUUAACUAACAGUACCUUUAGUUGGUCUGAUGCAAUCGGCAAGUGUAGACUGAUUCAAAAUGAAACGACUAUUCCUUAUUCGCAAUCCCCGACAGGACUGGGAUGGACGAAUAUAUCCGCAGAAUAUUUACCCUGGGUAGAGUAUUUAGGGUGCUUCAAGAUGUGGGAAGGAAAAGGCUUAAAUGCCAUACAAAAACAUGUUACAGAUGGUGAACAGCUUAAAGAAUGUAUUUUACGCUGCGAGGAGUAUCAAUUUCUUGGUUUGCAGAAAUCGUUAUGUAUCUGCCUACGUAAUUUCACACUAACAGAGGAAUUUAUUGAGACCCAUUGUGAUAGAAACGUGACAACAUGUUCCGGGGAUCGGUUUGCCUUUUGUGGAAAGGAAGACGGAAAUGGUUACCUUUCUGUGUAUAAAAAAGGUAUUUCCCACAUACACGUGUGUCCACAUUAAAUAUUACAAAUAAGUUGAAAAACAAAUGAUGGCUAGAUUGUCAAGUUAGAGACAACCA